rnacentral:lncRNA from 10 species
UGAGCUGAUGCACGAAUAUAGUCUUUUCUUGAUAGUUUUAGUCUUGUGCUAAAUCACAAUAAAUACUGCUGUAUUUGGAAUUAAGCCCAGUUCUAUACUGAGGUCUCUUGUUCCCUACCACUAUGGCCCUGAAUAAAAUCUGUUUUCUACUACUUUAAGAAUUAUCAAGCUCUAUUUUUCCUUUGACAUCUUUCCUGGGGCAGGGGCAAGUACCCCUCAACCCCUUCUCCUUCACCCUCAGCAGCAAGUCCCGCUUUCCUAGGGGGCAAGAACCCCCCAAUCACUUAUUUCUGCACCCCAACCUCUUAUCUCUGCGCCCCAAUCCCUUAUUUCCGCACCCUGACCUCUUAUUUCCGUGCCCCAACCCCUUCUCUGCUUUUCUGGAGGGCAAGAACCCCCCACCCCUUCUCCGUGUCUCUACUCUUUUCUCUGGGCUUGCCUCCUUCACUAUGGGUAAGCUUCCACCUUCCAUUCCUCCCUCUUCUCCCUUAGCCUGUGUUCUCAAAAACCUAAAACCUCUUCAACUAACACCUGACCUAAAACCUAAAUGCCUUAUUUUCUUCUACAAUGCUGCUUGACCCCAAUACAAAUUCGACAGUAGUUCCAAAUAGCCGGAAAACGGCACUUUCAAUUUUUCCAUCCUACAAGAUCUAAAUAAUUAUUGUCGUAAAAUGGGCAAAUGGUCUGAGGUGCCUGACGUCCAGGCAUUCUUUUACACAUCAGUCCCUUCCUAGUCUCUGUGCCCAGUGCAACUCGUCCCAAAUCUUCCUUCUUUCCCUCCCGCCUGUCCCCUCAGUCCCAACCCCAAGCGUCGCUGAGUCUUUCUAAUCUUCCUUUUCUACAGACCCAUCUGACCUCUCCCCUCCUCACCAGCCCAAGCUAGGUCCCAAUUCUUCCUCAGCCUCCACUCCUCCACCCUAUAAUCCUUCUAUCACCUCCCCUCCUCACACCUGGUCUGGCUUACAGUUUCGUUCUGUGACUAGCCCUCCCCCACCUGCCCAGCAAUUUAUUCUUAAAAAGGUGGCUGGAGCUAAAGGCAUAGUCAAGGUUAAUGCUCCUUUUUCUUUAUCCCAAAUCAGACAGCGUUUAGGCUUUUUCAUCAAAUAUAAAAACCCAGCCCAGUUCAUGGCUCGUUCAGCAGCAACCCUGAGACGCUUUACAGCCCUAGACCCUAAAAGGUCAAAAGGCCAUCUUAUUCUCAAUAUACAUUUUAUUACCCAAUCUGCUCCCGACAUUAAAUAAAACUCCAAAAAUUAAAUUCCAGCCCUCAAACCCCACAACAGGAUUUAAUUAACCUCGCCUUCAAGGUGUACAAUAAUAGAAAAAAGUUGCAAUUCCUUGCCUCCACUGUGAGACAAACCCCAGCCACAUCUCCAGCACACAAGAACUUCCAAACGCCUGAACCGCAGUGGCCAGGCGUUCCUCCAGAACCUCCUCCCACAGAAGCUUGCUACAAGUGCCAGAAAUCUGACCACCAGGCCAAGGAAUGCCUGC